UAUUGAAUUAAUCGUAUUUUACUGUCGUUUAAUCCAACUAUAAUUUAGGUAUAUUCAAUUAUAUUACUUAUAAUGUAUAGAUAUUAUGUAUAAUCAAUAUUAAUCGUUAUUGCGUUGGCGUCGUUUCAUUUUUUCACAAUUGUGCUGUAUAUAUAAUAUUGUCUAUAUAAAAUCAUCACUGAAUACUAUUAUUAUCUGUGUAAUAUUUGUACCGCAGCCACUGCAUGCUACAUUAUCUGUAAUCGAAUGGAAAAGGUCGUUGUUUACUAUAUACAUAAUCAUAUGUAUAAAAUGUCUAUAUCAUAAUUUUAUAUUUCAGGCAUAAUAAUAAUAUGUACAUAUGCUUCUCGUCAUCAUCGAUAAUAGAAAAAAAACGUGUUUUUCUCAGUUUGCAUAGACUACAUGCUGAAUAGUGAACACACACUGUGUGUGUGUGACGUGUGUAUAUGUUUUAAUAACAAAUAGCGAAAAUCUUCUAUAGUCAUCGUCGUAUUAUAUAAAACACAAAAUAAUAUGUACUGUGUAGGUACUUCAAGAUGUGAAAAAUAUAUUUUCAAACAAAUGCGUUAUGGAUGGUUAGUAGAUAUAUAUUUAUAUUUAGUGUUAUAUAGUUUUCAUACCGUGAAGGUCAAAAUGCAAUUAUUUGUUUUUACAUUUUUUUCCGAAUAGUAAAAAAAAUUAAAGAAAAAUCUCGUGUCACAGCUGUACAAUACUUUAUAUUGGUUGGAAGUGCGUAUCCAUUAUUUACACACCGAAACGACCUUACAAAUAUUUAUUUUUUUAUUUUAUGUCGGAUAGUUUAGCGAAACGUAUACAUUAAUUUGAAUAACCGUGCAGUAAAGAACAGGCGCGGUAUAGACCAUAUUAUAAAAUAAUUUUAUUUAUGUCUAUAAAAGGAUGAACGCGAAUUGUCUUGUGAAAAUAAAUAGUGUCUCGCAUACUAAAAUAUAGUCGUUGUGUUCUUAUUCUUUGCAUAAUAUGUGCGGCGUGAAGUUGGCUCCCGGAGUUCACCUCUACCAUGGUUCUAUGUUUAUAUUUUUCUUAAAGAUCCGAAACAGGCAGAUCGCUCAUCUCGAUCAAAUAAGUUCACAAAGUGGUACAUCUACGCUGACUUUUCCGUGAACGAAAUAUGCUAAGACAAGGAUACACGAAUAUUAUAAUAUGGUAUAUCGUGCGUGUGCUUUGAUACGAUUACAGACCAUUAACUUCGACUCCCGUUCCUUGGCCGCAUUUGUUCGUAAGCGGAUACAGACGCGUUUGUAUAAAAUAAUAUUAAAACAGUCUGUUUAGAUUUGAUUUUCUGAUCAUAGUUUUUUUUUUCAGCGUUUUUUCUUCUCACAUCGUUGGUUAUUUUAUCAGUGAUAGUUUGUAUUUUUAAUACUGUGAUCUAUGAUACAGUCUUGCAUUACAUUAUCUAUAUUGGCUGUAUCGGAAUUAUAAUAAAUAAAUAACAUUAUAAUGCAUUACUUGUACAUCAUAGGUUAUAGGUACUUAAUUUUCAGGGUUUUUUUUUUUU